GAAGAGUGAUAUACUUGGAAAUUUAGAAUAUUUGGAAGAUGCUGAAACUUUCUGGAAGUUUCAAAUGGGUCACAGUAUCCAUGAAGAGGUCUUGAUUUGGAGUAUUGGAUGCCAGUUAAGUCAGAAGCAUCUUGAGAAGAUGUAGCAAGACAAAUGAGAAAAAUGGAUGAUAAAAGUUGCUUAAAGAAGACUACAGAAGUCUAAGGAGCUGAGAAAAUGAGAAAAAGCUAAUAUGAGCUGAGUAAUGUGAACAACACUUCUGGAGGGAGCAGGCUGGGAAAUCCAGACCUUAGGCUGUUAUUGGCUGGAAGAGCUUAACAUCACUUCAGUUGUCUGCAUCCAAAAAGAAAGCACAAAGACAGGGAAGAGGAGGAAAUGUGAGGUCUGGCUGGUCCCUAAAAAGGCCAGAGACAUGGAGUCCUGCAGUCCAGAGUUGCGGCCUGCCCCCCGUGCUUCCAUGCCUCAUCCCCCUGACCACCAGCUGCAGGCAGGACCUACGUCUGUUAGAUUAUUUCUGCUCUUGCUGCCUUUUGAGUAAAU
rnacentral:lncRNA from 1 species